rnacentral:sRNA from 1 species
UGGUCCUGGCCCUGUGCUCAGUGACCGCAGGCUCUGCCUUGCUCUGGAUGAGCCCCAGCUCUGCAACGGGCACAUGGGGGGAGCCUCCCGGCGGGUUGAGAGUGGGGCAUGGGCAUACCUGAGCCCCCUGGUGCUGCGUAAGGAGCUGGAGUCGCUGGUAGAGAACGAGGGCAGUGAGGUGCUGGCGUUGCCUGAACUGCCCUCUGCCCACCCCAUCAUCUUCUGGAACCUUUUGUGGUAUUUCCAACGGCUACGCCUGCCCAGUAUUCUACCAGGCCUGGUGCUGGCCUCCUGUGAUGGGCCUUCGCACUCCCAGGCCCCAUCUCCUUGGCUAACCCCUGAUCCAGCCUCUGUUCAGGUACGGCUGCUGUGGGAUGUACUGACCCCUGACCCCAAUAGCUGCCCACCUCUCUAUGUGCUCUGGAGGGUCCACAGUGAGUCUGGUAUUUGGCCUGGGUGGGGAGGGUGGGUCCCAUACCCAGAGGGCUCAGUGAUUCUGGUGGCCUUCUUUCCUUUCAUCCAGGCCAGAUCCCCCAGCGGGUGGUAUGGCCAGGCCCUGUACCUGCAUCCCUUAGUUUGGCACUGUUGGAGUCAGUGCUGCGCCAUGUUGGACUCAAUGAAGUGCACAAGGCUGUGGGGCUCCUGCUGGAAACUCUAGGGCCCCCACCCACUGGCCUGCACCUGCAGAGGGGAAUCUACCGUGAGAUAUUAUUCCUGACAAUGGCUGCUCUGGGCAAGGACCACGUGGACAUAGUGGCCUUCGAUAAGAAGUACAAGUCUGCCUUUAACAAGCUGGCCAGCAGCAUGGGCAAGGAGGAGCUGAGGCACCGGCGGGCGCAGAUGCCCACUCCCAAGGCCAUUGACUGCCGAAAAUGUUUUGGAGCACCUCCAGAAUGCUAGAGACCUUAAGCUUCCCUCUCCAGCCUGGGGUGGGGAAGUGAGGAAGAAGGG